rnacentral:rRNA from 1 species
GACGAACGCUGGCGGCGUGCUUAACACAUGCAAGUCGAACGGUGAAGGGGAGCUUGCUCCCCGGAUCAGUGGCGAACGGGUGAGUAACACGUGGGCAACCUGCCCCCGACUUCGGGAUAACGCUUCGAAAGAGGUGCUAAUACCGGAUACGAACUCCUUGGGCAUCCUGGGAGUUGGAAAGUUUUUCGGUCUGGGAUGGGCCCGCGGCCUCUCAGCUAGUUGGUGAGGUAACGGCUCACCAAGGCGACGACGGGUAGCCGGCCUGAGAGGGCGACCGGCCACACUGGGACUGAGACACGGCCCAGACUCCUACGGGAGGCAGCAGUGGGGAAUAUUGCGCAAUGGGCGAAAGCCUGACGCAGCAACGCCGCGUGAGGGAUGACGGCCUUCGGGUUGUAAACCUCUUUCAGCAGGGAAGAAGCGAAAGUGACGGUACCUGCAGAAGAAGCACCGGCUAACUACGUGCCAGCCGCCGCGGUAAAAC